rnacentral:rRNA from 1 species
AUGGAAUUAACGUUUCUUGGAGAUCAUUUGGAUACACAGGCCGCACAUGGGAGUUCAUAUUUCUGUCUCGCAGAGUGUCUCGAUGAGUUGUUGCUUAUUAGCGCUGUUGGGGACUGCCCAGAGGAGUUUCAUGUUUUCCGGUGGCAGUCAAGGGAGGGGAAGUGGACAAGGACUACUAGACUUGGUGACUGCACAUUGUUCUUGUCAUACUUUUACUUUGUAGGCCGUGUUGUUCCGACGAAAGGAUUGACAUGCUUUUCAGGUUAUUACUUUGCAAGUUGCCUUGGUCCAGAUCAUCCAGGAGUUCGAAGGGACUGCUUAUACUUCACAGAUGCCAAAAAAAAGUGGAUCGAGUAUUCCUUGGCCGAUGGAUCUUGUGAUGAAUUUGUUGCUGAGAACUUAGAGGGAGCUGCAAGGCCUGAUUCCGAUUUCAGGGCACCUGUUUGGGUCUUUCCGAGCAUGUGUUGA